rnacentral:rRNA from 1 species
GGUUAUGGAUGGGCAUGCGUUGUAUUAGCUGGUUGGUGAGGUAACGGCUCACCAAGGCAACGAUACAUAGGGGGACUGAGAGGUUAACCCCCCACAUUGGUACUGAGACACGGACCAAACUCCUACGGGAGGCAGCAGUGAGGAAUAUUGGUCAAUGGACGCAAGUCUGAACCAGCCAUGCCGCGUGCAGGAAGACGGCUCUAUGAGUUGUAAACUUCUUUUAUAUGGGAAUAAAGUGAUCCACGUGUGGAUUUUUGUAUGUACCAUAUGAAUAAGGAUCGGCUAACUCCGUGCCAGCAGCCGCGGUAAUACGGAGGAUCCGAGCGUUAUCCGGAUUUAUUGGGUUUAAAGGGAGCGUAGGUGGACAGUUAAGUCAGUUGUGAAAGUUUGCGGCUCAACCGUAAAAUUGCAGUUGAUACUGGCUGUCUUGAGUACAGUAGAGGUGGGCGGAAUUCGUGGUGUAGCGGUGAAAUGCUUAGAUAUCACGAAGAACUCCGAUUGCGAAGGCAGCUCACUGGACUGCAACUGACACUGAUGCUCGAAAGUGUGGGUAUCAAACAGGAUUAGAUACCCUGGUAGUCCACACAGUAAACGAUGAAUACUCGCUGUUUGCGAUAUACAGUAAGCGGCCAAGCGAAAGCAUUAAGUAUUCCACCUGGGGAGUACGCCGGCAACGGUGAAACUCAAAGGAAUUGACGGGGGCCCGCACAAGCGGAGGAACAUGUGGUUUAAUUCGAUGAUACGCGAGGAACCUUACCCGGGCUUAAAUUGCAUUUGAAUAUAUUGGAAACAGUAUAGCCGUAAGGCAAAUGUGAAGGUGCUGCAUGGUUGUCGUCAGCUCGUGCCGUGAGGUGUCGGCUUAAGUGCCAUAACGAGCGCAACCCUUAUCUUCAGUUACUAACAGGUCAUGCUGAGGACUCUGGAGAGACUGCCGUUGUAAGAUGUGAGGAAGGUGGGGAUGACGUCAAAUCAGCACGGCCCUUACGUCCGGGGCUACACACGUGUUACAAUGGGGGGUACAGAAGGCCGCUACCUGGUGACAGGAUGCUAAUCCCGAAAGCCUCUCUCAGUUCGGAUCGAAGUCUGCAACCCGACUUCGUGAAGCUGGAUUCGCUAGUAAUCGCGCAUCAGCCAUGGCGCGGUGAAUACGUUCCCGGGCCUUGUACACACCGCCCGUCAAG